UCAGGACACGACGGAUAAGCGAACCCGAGUUAUCCCGGGUUGGCCCCGCACGGUGCUCUGUUUUGGACGAGCACCAUCAGGACUGACCCUCUGUGUAUUAUGUAGAAUUACUCCUCGGAUAGCGCUAACUCCCUAUGCAUUUCAGUUUAACAGAAUUAUUAUGUUGGGCAAAUGUAGUACCACUGUUGGGCCUUGCGAGACCAGCUUUAAUCUAAAACAAAUUAUCAAUGGGGUCCCCAUAACAACCCCGAUCGUGUUAGGAGCACUCAAAUAUGGAACAUAACACCAGUAGCCAAAACUAAGGGAGCAAAGGUGGAACAAAACACCAGGCUAGAAAGGUCCAUUAAAUUAAAUAGCAUUUAAUAGGGUGAUAUAACAAGGAACCAUGAUAUCAUAAUCGAUAGGCAACGGUAAACUAGCAUGGCAAUGAUAGUAAUGGUAUCUGGGGAAAUGGUCAUCUUGCCUGAGAUCCCGCUUGAAAGAAGAAUGACUCCGUGAAGCAGACGAACCAAUGUAGACGAACAUGUCCUCAAUUUUCGACACGCUUGCGGAACUCUAUCGAGACGGAGGAAACCGGAAACAAGAAUCAACACACGAAAUUCACCAUACGAUGCACAACACAAAUGAUGCAUGACCAGCUCAAUAUAUGCACGACAUGGCAUGGCAAUUCACAACACUCAAACACUACACAUUAAGUGAAGUUCAAUAUGCAACGAGUUGCAUAUUGACGAAACUCUACGUAUAAUUAUUUAGUUCUAUCCCGAUUAGAUACACGUCAAUAUUAAAUGUGGUUAAACAUGGAAAGAGGUGAAACGCAAUUACUCUACUUAUCUAGGCAUUUUAAAUGAGGUCAGAAAUGACAUAGUAUCUCCGAGACGACCUCACAUGUUAAUUUACAAUUCCAUUCAGAUCUGAACUAACACAUUUAAUUAGUUGUUAAACAACAAAACAAAUAGGUUCACGUGUUUCAACGCGUCGUUACAAGAAAUUUACGCAAAGAGAGCAUCUCCAACGGAGCUACGGUUCAAAAGAUACGGACCCCGCAAGAUAUGAUGGCAUGAAUGAGAAAUGUGUGCAACGACAGUCACGAGCACUUCAAAACAUACAACCAGCAAGAUAAAAUAAAACUACACGAGAUUCUAAGAAAGUUUCAUAUAGGACACGAACAAAACGGAGCUACGGUUCAAAAACUACGAGCUAAACAAGAAAUCACUACAAUCUGCCAAAUUUAGCCACAUAGCAUUUUCUACACCCCACAACUACGAGCUACACAAACCCAAUAUGUUCAAUCAAGGCAUGAGACGACAGAGGGCAAGAAGCACUACAACAUUCAACUAACAAGAACUAGCAUGGAAGCAUGGAUCACUAGGAAAAGAAGUCACAAAACGGUUUCUCAAACACAGUUUCACACUUGUGAAAAUAACAGUUUAUGAAACUGCAAUUUUUGAUCUGAAGGCAUAUUGACAGCAGCAAAACCAUAAGCUACAGGACUUCAAAUGGCAUGAAAAUUCAUAGCAUGCUAUAGAAUCACAAAGUCUACAACUAACUUCGUUGCAUCAACCUCAAAAGAGCUACAGAUCACAAGAUAUAAGCAAGACAAGACAGAAAAAAAAUAUAGCAGAUUUCAGACUUAGAAAUAUUUCAGCACCCCUAAAACAACACUAUUUCCUAGCAAGUAAAGAACAAGUAAACCACACCUAAACAUGGAUUUCUAUUGCAACUAAAAUUACCAGGGCCUAGACUAAACAUCAAAGGGCAAAUCUCUAGUUGACAACUCCUUCAAACGAAGCACGGAAUAAAUCCUACGAAAUAGACAAGAGGGCAACAUGGCAAAAUAUCACGCGAACUAACUUGCUCAAAAGCUAAAACUAAUUGCACAGAUAAAUCCUAUGAAUUUUUCUACCCCGAAAACAUAUAUAAUAUGUGGGGUACNNNNNNNNNNNNNNNNNNNNNNNNNNNNNNNNNNNNNNNNNNNNNNNNNNNNNNNNNNNNNNNNNNNNNNNNNNNNNNNNNNNNNNNNNNNNNNNNNNNNNNNNNNNNNNNNNNNNNNNNNNNNNNNNNNNNNNNNNNNNNNNNNNNNNNNNNNNNNNNNNNNNNNNNNNNNNNNNNNNNNNNNNNNNNNNNNNNNNNNNNNNNNNNNNNNNNNNNNNNNNNNNNNNNNNNNNNNNNNNNNNNNNNNNNNNNNNNNNNNNNNNNNNNNNNNNNNNNNNNNNNNNNNNNNNNNNNNNNNNNNNNNNNNNNNNNNNNNNCCCUACACGCAAAAAUACCUAUGACUACUCUAAAAUACGUGGCAAAGGGUUCCUAAAACAUGAACAUUUCUACUACGGAUCUCGAACAAUCCGGACACGCGCGAAAAAUAACUACAAGCAAUAAACCUAUUGAGACAACACGUAAAACUAUGCAUUAGGCACUUCAAACAAUUACGCAAGUUGCAAAAUCGUAUUCUACGCGAGAUUCUACACAAAAACCAUAUGCUACACGUCGCGAUUCGACUUACCGUUAAUAAACUACGGUCGAUUUAAUAUACGUCUAUUAUCUCGAAUUUAAUUAAAUUCUGNNNNNNNNNNNNNNNNNNNNNNNNNNNNNNNNNNNNNNNNNNNNNNNNNNNNNNNNNNNNNNNNNNNNNNNNNNNNNNNNNNNNNNNNNNNNNNNNNNNNNNNNNNNNNNNNNNNNNNNNNNNNNNNNNNNNNNNNNNNNNNNNNNNNNNNNNNNNNNNNNNNNNNNNNNNNNNNNNNNNNNNNNNNNNNNNNNNNNNNNNNNNNNNNNNNNNNNNNNNNNNNNNNNNNNNNNNNNNNNNNNNNNNNNNNNNNNNNNNNNNNNNNNNNNNNNNNNNGAAUUUAAUUAAAUUCUGAAAAUCCUAAAUAACUAACGGGCCUAACGGGGCGCAAGAUAAUUAACACCGCAUUUGUGCAAAAAAAAGAGGGCUCGGGUGUUGGCUCACCUUGGGCCGGCCCGGUCGGUGGAGAGGCAUGCCGGCUCGGUCAACAGCUCAGUUGACCAACGGGCUGCGCGGCCGAUGGCCGGCUCGGCUGCUGGAGCAGUCAAGGCCCACGCGGGGCGAGGCCGCUGCUGGCCUGGAUCGAGCAGAGGGGCGACUGGGCCGGCUGCAGCAGCCCAUGGGGUCGGCGCGGUCAACCGCCUCUCCCCCGAUCUGGUCCUCGCUCCAGAUCGCGGCGGACGAGCGCUCGCCAGCGGGAGGACCCGCGCGGGAGAUGCCCAGCGGCACUGCAGUAGGCGAUGGCAGGCAGGCAGACGCGGACACAGGGGACUGGGUGACGGCGGCGCACGCGGGAGGCGAGCAGGCGGGGCGGCGGGGCACGCCGGCGGCGAGGAAGCUGUCGGCCGCGCGGGAUCUCGCGUGGGGGGCAGAACGGGGCGGCGCACCGGCGAGGCACGGGCCGUGGCCGGCGCUGGAGGCGCAAGGCGGCGGGGGCUGGCAGGGCAAGGGCCGGCGGCGGCGCGAGGGAGUUCUGGGGCUCGGGUGCUGCUGCGGGGUUGGCCACCUCGGGCAGGGACUCCAUGGAAUGGAGCUCGGGCUAGCGGCGGCGACGGCUCGGGCGGGCCCUACGCGGGAGGAGAGAGGAGAGAGACUGGAGGUGGCGGCUGCUGGGGUAGGUGGGGCAUUUAUUUAUAGGAAGGGGCUAGGUUAGAGGGUAUCUGGAGUUUUUCGACCGUCCGAUCGCGAUCGUACGGUCCAAUCGAAGAGGCGGGUUAGCGUUUGCUGUAAAGAGUAGUUAUCCGGAGACGAGAGGGAAAACACGCGACCCGGCAACGAGUUUUAAAAUAUCUAAAGACGUCGGACGAUAGACCGACUACGGUGCCGCUACGGUCGACCGUUCAGGUACCAGAUGGACUCCGAUCGCGAUGAAAUUCGACAAGCGGCCUAGCUAUAUUAAAAUAAGACCGCACAUCAAAUCUCAACCCAAACAGAGAAAGUUUUUAAACACACUUUGAAAACAAGAUUUAGACGAUGCCGCGGGCGCGGGCGUGUAUGGUCAGGCUCAGAACGAACAACGACGAGAACCGNNNNNNNNNNNNNNNNNNNNNNNNNNNNNNNNNNNNNNNNNNNNNNNNNNNNNNNNNNNNNNNNNNNNNNNNNNNNNNNNNNNNNNNNNNNNNNNNNNNNNNNNNNNNNNNNNNNNNNNNNNNNNNNNNNNNNNNNNNNNNNNNNNNNNNNNNNNNNNNNNNNNNNNNNNNNNNNNNNNNNNNNNNNNNNNNNNNNNNNNNNNNNNNNNNNNNNNNNNNNNNNNNNNNNNNNNNNNNNNNNNNNNNNNNNNNNNNNNNNNNNNNNNCGGGCGCGUGCGAGUGCGGUCAGGCUCAGAAUGGACAACGACGAGAACCGGCAACUAACAACGGAUGCAACUUUUAAAACUAGCGGCAAUGGGAUGCCGAUGCAAUGCAGAGGAUGCGCAUGAUGCGAUGAUGAUGCGACAAAUAUAAUUAAACACACGGCAGAAACGGAAUAAUGGGGGGAAUCUUCUGGGGCGUCGGUCUCGGGCUGUCACACCUGAGAGGCCUCCCGCUUGGUCCCUCGCGAGGGCCUUGCCUUGGGUGGUUUCGUGCCUGUUGGUUUUUUAUCGUUGAAGUGGGCCAGCCGUGGGCCGUAGGAAGGCAGGUGUGGGUACCCCCGUUCCCAGAACGCCGACAAUAGCCCCCGGGCCCAAGGCGUGCUUGAGCUGGCUUCUGGGCAAAGCCUUGGGGUGGCCCCAAGCGUCGCGGACCCUAAUUGCGUGCGGGCCAGGCCCUAUAAACGGCAAACUAAAAGCUUGUCUUUCGAACUUCUCCGCGCUAGACCAGCCUCAGCAAGGCUCGUUGAACCAUUUGACCCGCAUCCGCGAGCCGCCUUCGUCUCUCAUCGAUUUCGCCGUCGGUUCUUCCUCUUGUGCGAUCUCGGCUCCCUCCUCCGAGCCCUCGCGCGCCACGUCGUUUUCCCCCUCAUUCUCCUCGCCAUACCUCCGAAAGGGGGAAAAGCGGAGGCUCGCGGGGUCCGACCUUCUCGACGGUGCCCCGGCCCGUGUUGGGCCGGUCAACGGUGGUGAACUUCGAGGGGUUGGAGAAGAUCCAACUGGUAGUCGCGGCCGGCUCCAAUGAGUGGGGAGCCACCAAGAUCUGGCCAGGUUCAUGGCCUCGGGGCAAGAUGGCGACCCCCGCGGUUCCCCUUCAUAUCCACGCUCUUCUUUCUCGUGUACUGCUGAUACGUCCCAAACAUAUCUAUAAUUUCUGCUUCUUUCGUGAUCUUUUGGGUAACAUUGUUAUAUGUUUUGCUACACUUUUAUAUCAUUUUACACAUAUUUGGACUAACCUACUAACGCAGUGUAACCAAUGCUAGUUUUUGUCUGCUGAUGUCUAUUUUGCAGGGGCUUUUACCAUAUUUUCCGAAGCCUAAAAAAAUCCAAGAAAAAUAUAUAAAAAAUUAGCGUAACGGAAGUCUUCCAGAUCACCGAAGAUGGGCCAGGGGGGCCAGGGGCCUCCUAGGCGACCUACGGGUGCGGCUUGGCCCUAGGUCGCGCCAAGAGGCCGCCUGGGAGGGUCCCACCUCUUCACGUGCCCUCAUUUGACCUAUAUUUACUCCUUCACGACAAAACCCUUCCAUCACAUCGAGAAUCGUGAAUUUCGCCAUAGUUCCACCGCCGCAGCGCUUCCGAGAUCGGGAGCGUGAGGAGACCUCUUCCCAGCACCCUACCGGAGGGAGGGUUGACCUCCGGAAGCUUCUCCACCGCCAUGGACGCUUCUCGAACCUGCCGUGAGUAGUCCUCCUUGGACCUUGGAUCCAUGACCAAUAGCUAUGUGAUGUCUUCUCUCCAAUCUUGUGCUUCAAUGAUUAGUCCUUGUGAGCUGCCCUACAUGAUCAAGGCAUCUAUGUAAUUCUCUUGCUAUUGCUAUGCUCGGUUUGUUGGGAUCCGAUGGAUUAUGAGAUUAUGUUCAGAUUAUUAUGAGUUAUAUAUCUGAUUAUCCUUUUAUAUUAUGUUCUUUAGUGAUUCAUGCAUGUUCUUCGUUGUUAUUUAUUGCUUUGGCCGAGUAGUAGAUUGUAACUCCAAGAGGGAGCGUUAUGCAUGAUUGUGGGUUCAUGCCCCUCGAUGUCUAGCUUGAGUGAUAGAAACAUGAGACUAGGGGAUGUGAUGUUGCCACCAGGGAGAAAACAACGGUGCUUGUGACCACGGUUGCAAGGAUUGUUUACCUUACGCAUAGUUCGUUAAUGCAAUUGUCUGUUGCUUUGAUUUUACACUUUGGGUGGGGCUUACAACUUAAUACCGGCGAGAUGUUCUCGAUAGAUAUCUCAAGGUGGAUGAUUAGUAAGUAGAUGUUGAUGAAUAAAAGGUCUACUUGUCUUUGCGUACUGUCCAUUACUACUGAACCUCUAACUAUCAAGUACCAUAAUUAGCAUUGUGGUGCGUUCAUAAUUCUGUCAAUUGCCCAACUAUGAUUUGUUUACCCAAGAAUAGUUGGUUAUCGUCUUUUGAAAGAGAGACAUCACUAGUGAACAUCAUGUGACUCCGGUCCAUAUCACCAUCAUUGUUUACACCUCCAUCAUUUACCGUUUUCAUUUACUUUUCCGUUGCAAUCACUAUUAGUUUUCCCGCUUGUGUUUUAAUCUUUGCAAACUACAAGGCCAGAGAGAUUGACAACCUCUCUGUACUCGUUGGGAGCAAAGUUAUUUGUUGUGUGUGCCGGUCCACGCCUUCUGCUAGCGUCAGGGCGGAAGACACCUACUUGUUGAUCCUAGGAGUCCUCCUGCUUCGAUAAACCUUACAGUCUCCGAGUAAGGGAAAACUUGCUGCUGACUACAUCUCAACCUUCCACUUGGGGUAACCAACGAGGAGUGAGAAGUAUAUGCAUCAUCUCGUCAUCAACUAUCGCCGUUCUCGAGCUUGCACAUUGCAGUGCUUUCGCAUUACCAGAUCCACGCGCUCCACGCUGACCCCAGUUCUUCGGUUCUCCUCUCGGCCUUCGCAUUCUUGUGCGAGGCCUUUGUUGGUGUUACCCCUUCCGUGGCAUUGCUUCGCCACUUCUUCUCCCUUGAAUUGGUCUCCGAGGAGCAGUGCUCCGGGUGCGCUUCCUUGAAGACGGCCGACGCAUCGGUCCCGGGGGCCCUCGACGUCGAGCUCCUCCCCGAAGCAGAGGGGUUCCAGCGACAGUGGGUGUAGGUCGAAACUGCCGAGGCCGAAGCCCUGUUCGAGCCCCCGUCGAUCCCCGCAACGUCGAACCGGGGGUGGAUGCGCAAGGAGUUUAAUGACCCCCGGCUCAUGCCGGUCCUGACCCGGCUGGAGAAGCUGAAGCGGGCGGGGGUGACGAUGGCGAUGGUGGUGCCGGAGUUUAUCUAUCGGCGGAUCGCUCCUCUUCAGCGCCACUCCCGUCCGAUGUGGGCCUACACCAGACCUCGUGACCCAAUGAGGAUCCAGGUCCUGCCUCUCUCCCCUGACAUCUUGCGUGAGUUUCUCCGUCGGCUGACUGGUAGCGAUCCUGACGAGCUUCCCGAAAAUGACCUCCCGUUGUAUAACUUCAACGCCCCGAAAGCUCUCGUCGCGGAGAUGCCGCUCUUCGAUGAGUGGGGUUCCUCCCUGGGGCGAACAUGCACCCCCGGGGGGCCUCGACCCUUGGGGUUCAAGCCCGCAAAAACUCUGGUCGUGACGCCCCUCCCGCAGCUGGGGUGGGCGGCGUAUCGCCGCAGCCCCCCCCCCUCUGGUGGUGACGACCGAUCGACGGUGGAAGUCGCUGCCCCUGCCUUCAACAUUCAGCCGUGGGUCGCCGGGUCCCCACGCCAGGCCACCCGCAUCGGCCGGAUGAGGGGGUCGCCUGAGGGCGGCCUCCCCUCGACGCGGUGGGCUCCGGUGAAAAAGAAGUGGGUCGCCGUAGACGAGUAAGCGCCCGUACUCUCCUUCGUCCUUUCUUUCUGUGCCUCCCUUCUGAGCCUUUGUUCUACAGGCUCUUCACCGGUGACAGGGGGCAGGUCGGUGCUGCCCGCCCCUGAGAUCGCCGAGCAUCUUGUGGUUUCUUCCCUUGCACCCCGCGGGGUUCAACCUCCAGAGUCCGUUGCGCGUGAGCCUCCUGCGGUCUUCCUCGCCCGCGGCCUCCGGCUCCCAAGAAGAGUGCCAUUCCCCUCGCCUACGGCCCCUCCUAGGGUCGUGUUGCGCCUCCCUUCCGGACGCCUUUUGCUUGGUGACAUGGGGCCUCAGGGGGCGCUUCCUUCCGAACAAGCGCAUGCUCGUGAGCCCCCAUCCCCCGAGCAUGGAUUCGGGCUGAGAGACUCCUCGCGCGCCUCUCCCGUUCGCCAUCUAGAAAGUGAGAGCUCUUAUUGGCCACUCGAGCCUGUUGGAGGUUUGCGUGCCGCACCGGGGGGCUUGCUCCACACCGUUGUCGGCACGCUUCAGCGUCUAGGAGCGGGGCUUGCCAACAAUGAAGUUCGCCUGGAGCAUGAGGUCCGGCACCUUGCGUCGGGGUGGCGCCAGCUUGAAGUUGCCGUGAACCUCGGCCGUCUGCAUCGUGAGCGCGCCCGCGCGAAGGUAGAGGGGUCCCUUGUCGCGGCGGCGGAAGCCCGCGAGCUUGCUCUCACCGAGGCUCGGGAGGCUGAUUGUGGGGGCAGGGCCUCCGAGGAUCGCCACGGGGAGCUUUGCGCCCUCAACGCCGAUCUUGAAGAGCAGGCUCGGUUGAGGGCCACCCUAGGGGGUCCGCCUGCUAAGUUCUUCCCUGCUAGCGUGGGCUUUCGACCGUUCGCCGAUUCGCUCGCGCUUGUAGAGGUGGAGCAGAGCCUGGAGAAGGAGCGUCUGGAGGUGAGGGAGCGUCAGGUGUCGCUUGCUGAGGGAUCCCUUGCCUCUCAUGAGGCGAAGCUUCAGGAGGACAUCGACAGGGGCGUGUGUGACAUCCUCAGAUUUUGCUACAUUGAUGAUUGUAAUUAAGCUACAGUGAUCACACGCUAAUGAUGCCACGUCACGGUGAUUAGCAUCCUUGCUCUCGCGAUUGUUAGUUGAAACCGAGUUAAAAUUCAAAACAUAAAAUUAAAGUCGAACGAGAAAGGUUUUAUGUUGUUAAAGUAAAAACGUCGGGGAGUUAUAAAAAUUCUCUAACGAAAUAUAAAUGUGAAUCAGGCACUUUUAAAAUUACCAGGUAAUCCCUAUAUAUUUAAAAGAGAAGCUUUGUGUAAAUUAAAUAAAGGGAAUGAAAGUAAAGAAAAAUAAAAUAAAUAAAUAAAAGGAAAACAACCCCCCCCCCCGGCCAACUAAUCCAAGUGGCCCAGCUGGCCACCUUCCCAUCGGCCCACUACAGCCCCCUAGGGGCUAAACCUAGCGAGGCCACACUCCUCCCGUUUCCCUGCCCCCGCCGCCAGGAGACGAGGGGCUCCCUCGUCGCUACCCCCACCUACCCACGUCGCCCGUAACCCCUCGUCCCACCUCUCCCUCACGAGGCCACCCUUCGCCAUAGCGCUCCACCUCUCUGGUUUCGAUCUCCCUCUACACCUCGCCGUAACCGGUGCCUGAAACACCAUCCCGUCGCCCCAGAUCCCCUCCCCUCGCCGGCCCUCCCCCCCCCCAUCGGCUGGAGACCUCCAGCNACUCACCCCUAGACCCCCGCUGCCCCACCUCGAGCUCCCUCCCCAUCCCGCAACCCACGGCACCCCCUCGCCCUGUAUCCCAUCGAUCUCGGUCGCUCCUCUCCCCCCUUGCUACGCCGGUUGCCGCCUCGCCGCCGCUGGUGUCGUCCCGCGGCGCCACCACACCGCCCCGGCGCCCUGCCCCGCCUCCACCGGACCGUCACGUCGUCAAGCUCCCCGUCGUCGGCCCCUCCACACCGUCUCCAUCACAUCGGCCACCACCGCGUCAGCCCUCCACAACCGGUCGGCUCGAGUCCUCGCCUCCUCGCCGGACAACCUCCUCAACGUCGCCGGCCUCCUCAUCUCGUCCCCGACGGCUCCAUCGAGCCUCGCCAAACCCGCCCCCCUACAAUGUGGGUGAGAACACCCCUCUCGCUCUCCUGGUUCCAUUCCGACGAUCGCCGCCGCGUUCCGGCGUCGUUAGACUCAUGUAGGAGGAGGUGGACCUUGCCUCCUCUCUCUCUCUCUGUUUAGGUUCCUGUUGUUAGCAGAGAGAUGUCCAGGAGGUUAGAGAAGAGUUAGAUAGAAAAUAAAAUAAAAAGGAAUGUAUGUAUUAUGUAUUAUGUAUGUAUUACGUUUGUAUGUAUCGUGUAUGUAUUGCGUAUGUGUAUAUGCAUGUACAUAUAGAGAAUACGUUAUUUGUAUGAAUAUGUGUAUGGGUGUUUUGUGUGUAUGUGGCCUAAGCCACUUACCGGUGGGGCCAAACCUCCACUCCCACUGACAGGGAGACCCCACACGCUGUUAAAAUAAAAUAAAAUAUAAAACUAAAAAUAUGUUUUUAUUAUUAUUAAAUAAUUAAAUAAAUAGAUAUAUUGUUUAAUUAAUUAGUUAAUUAAUUAAAUAGAUCAAUUAGAAUAAUUAGAGUAUGACACAUGGGUCCCUCACUAAAUUAAUAUGAUUAAUUACUAUUUAAUGUUAAUUAAAAACUGAGUCUAUGACGCGCGGGACCCACUGGUCAGUUGACCAGUCAACUGCUGAUGUCACCAUGACAUCUUGCUGAUGUCAUAAUAGCAUUUAAUUUAAUUAAUUAAAUCUAUUUUUAAUUCCUAAAUCAUUAAUAAAACUAUCAAAAUUAAUAUUAAAUAAACCGUAAGUCAGAUCAAAAUAUUUUCAACAUGAAAGUUGAUCAGCACAACGAGAUGAACCCGGAUACACGGUCCAUUCGUUCGUCACGCGUCCCUAGCAUAUCAAACGUGGAACUUUUUCAUCGUUUUAAUCUCACCGGUAGUAGCCCGAGACUCUGAAAAUAUCGUUAGAUAUUCUUCCGACCCGUCUGCGACAUACGUUGUUGCGUUAGCUCAUGCCUAGCCUGCUUUUUGCCAUGUCGAGCUUAGUGUUGCACUGUUGAUGUUAUUUAUUGUUUCGUCCCCCUCUUCUUAUCGGUAGACCCCGAGAUCGAUGAUGAUCCGGUGAUCGACUACUUCCCGGUCGAGGAUCCGUUUUGUCUAUAGAGCAACCAGGCAAGCAAACCCCCUUGAUCAUCCCUAUAUCGCCUAUGUCUUUCUCCCUCAUGCUUGCAUUAGUAUUUUGCUACUGUUGUAGUUAGCUCCUAUAUUUGAUGCAUAGCCUAUUUUUGAUGAACUGCUACUUUCAGUACUGUAUCUUUAAUCUGCUUAGUAUAGGUGGAGCGGUCAUCCCUUCUGACCCCGUAGUCCAGUUGCUCCGCUUUGAUUUCAAAUCUCGAUCCCUGUUCGACGAGCCAGACCCGACACAACACAUACACCCCCCUUAGUUGUACGACGCUACAGAGAUACUAUCGGGUACCGAGGGUGACACCUUGCUAAGUACUCCUGAUGAUAUCUCUGUAAUAUAGCUAGUCGGUCGUGGUUAUCGAGGGUGAUUCCUCAUUCACCAUUCCCGACGAUGCCCCUGUCGUGCAACCCCUCAAGUGUGGGACCCCCGAGGGUGAUUCCUCUAAGUCCACCUUGACGGAUACAUCGUUCGGAAUCCAACGAGGGUGAUACCUCGGAUUCCCCCUGAUGUUACAACCACACAGUUACUCAACCAUGUUACUGGGAUCAUUGGUGAUUAGUUGUUAGACGGGUGGAUUCCCACGAGAUUGUGUCGAUGGCCUAAUUAAAAUGAUAAUGGAUUUGGGUAUUUGAUCUGGGUUGGUUGGAGACCUUUUCGCACUAACCGGUUACGCGGGAAGAAUUAUGGGUACUCGACGUCGCGGUAUCAGCCGAAGCUUUUCAGAUGUCAGCAAUGUAGCGGCGCGCGCCCGAGUGGUCCCGAGAUGCAUCGCGCUUGUGAUUAAGGGAUGCUAGGACUGACAUCGGCCGCCCACGCAUCGUGUAGGAGCGCGAAGGGGAAGUGGGCCCAUGAACCCUUUGUGCUUAGGAAUUAGACCGGCGGCCUGGCCUCUCUGUCGAGUCUUAGGUGGGGCUGCGACGUGUCGAUAUUCCGAGGCCGGGCAUGACCCAGAAAAGUGUGUCCGACCAGAGUGUUAUCGAGCGUGACGGGAAAUGUGGUGCAGCCCUGUAAGGAUGAAAAUUAACUAUUCGAAUAGUCGUAUACACGGUUACAGGAUGACUUGGAGUUGUGCCCUGAUCUUAUACAACUACAAUUGUUACUUAAGUGGAAUUAGUUGCCUCGGGAUUGCUUCCUCGCAGGGAGUCGAGGGAGGAUCUCUGGGCGUGAUCUCAGUUUAAUAUUGCUACAACAAUAUGACUAUUAUUUGUGUUACACCUGUUCUACUCUCGUCUAUUGUUGCAUGACCCUGAAGAUGUUAGUCUUGGAUGGGACUAGGCCUUCUCUCUCUAUUCUCGCAUUGCUGCAGUCAGUCCACAUAUAACCACCCCCCCUUCUUUGAUACUGAUGCAUACUUAGAAUAGUUCUGAUGUAAGACUUGCGAGUACUUUGGAUGAGUACUCACCGUUGUUUUGCUCCCCCUUUGUCCCCUUGAUCCGUUGCUACAACCAGAUGAUGGAGCCCAGGAGUGGAGUUACCUGCCGAUGUCUGCCAUCCCGAUGGUGUCUUCUUCAUGGAGGCCGCUGAAGACCAGGAGUAGUUUAGGAGGUACCCAGGCAGGAGGCCUCGCCUCGUUCGAUCGUGUUUCUUUUGUGCUAGCCUUCUCUAAGGCACCCCAUGUGUAUGUCUGUACUCCGAUAUUUGUUGCUUCCGCUGACUCGUGUGUUUAUCGAGCUUUUGUAUUCUAGCGCUCAAGGCCCCUGGCUUGUAAUAUGAAGCUUGUAUUAUUUUAUUUGUGUAUAGAGUUGUGUUGUGAUAUCUUCCCGUGAGUCCUUGGGUUUGAUCGUACGCAUGUGCGUGUAUGAUUAGCAUACGAUUAAACCAAGGGCCUCACAAGUUAGUAUCAGAGCCGACUGCCUGUAGGUAGCCCCCUUUCCAACUCCUUGACCGAAGUUGAGUCUAGUGUUUGAAAAACUUUACUAACACUGAUGUUGUGGCUUACGAGCCCACAUCUCAAUUGGGUGGUAUUAGUAUCUUUUACUCCUUUCCUAUACUUUGGGCUCUACUCUCUCUUCUCUUUCGGGAUAAGAUUUUGCUAACUCUAACAUUAGGUUCUCGUAAAUACUUACUCCCGGAGAGCCCCCCAUGUCAGACGAUGGCUUGAUUCAUCAGAAGACUUCGAGGAUACUCGUUGAUGUUCUCUCGAGAACUUGUGCUCAUUGCUUCUGCUAUUUUCCUUCCAUCCGUCAACCACUAUGGAUGACUACAUACAAAUGGCAUUCAUAUUUUCUCUCCAAUUGCUCUUGUUUUACGGGAUACAACGAAUUAACUUGUCUAGGAUUCGUCCAUCAUCAGUUAUCAUGGGUUUCGGAAGUUCUUCGAACUGUUAUUCUAUCUUCCAGGAUCCUUAGUAGCCUAUUGCUCUUGACCUUCUCACCUGUUUGCAUUAUGGUUAAAUCCAUAUGUCUAUCCUCAUUCAUUAAAAUCCUUUGUGAUUUUCCUGUGAUCUUAUUGAUUCUACCUUUGUGUGAAUGCACACAAUCAUCUGCAGAUACUCAUGAAUUAUCUUCCGGCUCAGACGUCCUUCCAGACAGAGCUGGUUCUCGACAAAUCAACUGUGGUGGUUGUCCAUCUAAAUCCAUUCAGCGUACUUGUAUUUGAUCGGAGCAUCUCAUUAUGGUACACCAACCUGGAAAUCCUAAUUCCUUUGGUAAUUAAGUAUCAGUAUUUUUCAGAUGUUCUAUAACCCGAUGCAUUGCAUCCUACCUCCCUCUGAUUGAGUACAAAUCCUCACAUCAGGUCCUUUGUGGUACUGCCAGACCCAUUGUUGGGUUAUUAUCCGACGGCAUCCCUUACAUCCAAAAUUCUUGUGGUACUGUUCACCUGAUGCAUAAUGCCAUUGGUAAAUUGUGUUUUCUCCCUCUGACAAAUUGUAUCCUAUGCUUUUGUCCGCCAUGCUCUAUUGUCAAGCAUGUGUUGAUUACUCUUGAAGUUUCUGGUAUAUGUUCCUAAGAUGCCCCGAUGGGUUGAACCUAUGCCUUCCUAAAACAAUAUGAUCCGACGAGUUUUCACGAGUCUUACUAUUCUGGUGUUUUGCCAGAUAAUCUUUCCAAACUACAACCUGAUCAAAGGCGAGGAGUAAAUGGCAGGUGAUGCAUUGAUGAAGUGGGAGUCGACCUUGAACUUUGUGUUCAUGCCCAUGGAAAGGACGUUGAUCUUACCAUAGAAGCUUCUCGAAUCAAUAAUCAUUCAUUCUGUGGUUUAAAUCUCGUAUCGGUGAUCUUGUCAUUUGCAAUCGUGGUUCCGACCGUGUUGUCCUACCUUGAUUUCAUUCUUAGACGAGUUAAAGUACUUGUCUUCUUUAGAUCAACACAUCGGUCCAAACCUUAAAGUUGAUCUACCUCCGAGUAUUAUUCCUUGUAGCUCGAGGAUAUCGCAGAGCUAUGAAACUUCUUGUGAGCUCCUCAUCAACUAUGAUAUUUUCCUUAAUUCCAGUUUCCUCGUGUUUGAGUUGUUGGACACGCGAGUACAUCGAUAACUGAAUCGAGUACGCAUUGCGAUCCAACAAUUUUUUGUAAUCUUCCUUGUUUACGAGUUUGUACUCGAUCAUGUCAUUCCAAGUUGUUAAACUACAUCAUCAUCGUCAUGGUGAAGCUUGAACAUACUAUCUAUGUCCUCCAUCUCUGGAGCACAUAUCCAGCUGUGCGUUAAGCUUGCAUCGAGCUUUCCACAUCAUGUUGGUUGUCUUAAAAGGCAAUCUCAAUUCUAAGCUAGUAGUCUUAUCUGUGAUUCCGGCAACCUCUUGCUUCAUCAUUCCCUUGCUUGAUGUCGUCGCUGAUCGAUUACAUCUUCAUGAAGCUUCUCGACAAAUGUGUCGUGAUUAUCAUCGGCAUCCCGAUCUCUUGUUGGGUAUCAAUCGAAUGCAUGAUGAGAAAUACCAUCCUUGCCCCUCGAUGAUAUGUGUUAUCGUCGACAACCUUCUUUCCUUCCCUCCUACACAAACAUGUAUGUGUUUUGUGUUGUCCCCUGUGUUCCUCGCUAUCCAGCUUAUGUUAUCUUCUACCUUGGGGUAUUAACAUCUUUAUGUCAAGAAUGUCGUAAAAAUUGGAAACGUCUUAAGAAUUCUUGAUAUAGUAAUACCUCUCGCCAUAACCAUUGAUUUAUUGGUCCCGAGUUGUUUCUAACCGGUAUACCGACAAGUGAACUCUAAUGUGUGAUUCCAAUACUUCUGUCAACCCUAUCGACUUGAGGUUAAUAACUGAUUGUUUCCUCCUUGGUGUCUUGGGUGUUGACUCAUCAUUUUAUCAUUGGUUAUGCUACUCAAUCCGUAUUUCCGAGUGCACCCUUCGACCAAUGUUUAAUUGUUGUUGUUCCCUCGAGCAUACGGCAUUAUACCAUUUGUUUUGACAAAUGCUAUCUCCAUGAUAUUAUAAUUUUGGAAAUUCAACCCUGUCAAAAUCCUGAGGGGUUGUUGCUGAGCCCGCCGGCCGCACCCUCAAGUUCUCCAUGGUUCGUGAUGAAGCUUUUGAAAGCACUACCUUUGUGCCAAACUCAUGAAGGAUAUGUUUGAUAUAGGAAGUGGAUUUUCCCAAAGUUCAUGUGCACUCUUUCCGUCGUGAAUAUGUGCAAGUUUUGUUUCGCUCCCUCUUGGGAAAUACCAAAUCAUUCACGCAUGUGCGAAGUGUUAUAUAUUUUGAAGGUUUGUUAUCUUCACUUCAUAUAACUUUUCUUAGCACGCCAAGCCACUGACUGAUUUGAUCAAGGAAAAGAGGUUUCUUCUUAAGAGCUAAUCGAGGCUUACACAAGGGCCUUGAUAUCCUCGAUGAUGGUUUCCAAAUGAGAACUCAAUUGCAUUUUGACGUAAGAAUUCUAUGUGGGCACGAAUGUCUUGACAUUGUGUUCAUAUGUCUUACAAUCGAACUCAUGAUUCAAGAAUUGCUUGUGUAACUCAUAUCAUGAGACUCUUGUAAGACUUGCGAGUACUUUGGAUGAGUACUCACCGUUGCUUUGCUCCCCCUUUGUCCUCUUGAUCCGUUGCUGCGACCAGAUGAUGGAGCCCAGGAGUGGAGUUUCCUGCCGAUGUCUGCCAUCCCGAUGGUGUCUUCUUCAUGGAGGUCGCUGAAGACCAGGAGUAGUUUAGGAGGUUCCCAGGCAGGAGGCUUCGCCUCGUUCGAUCGUGUUUCUUUUGUGCUAGCCUUCUCUAAGGCACCCCAUGUGUAUGUCUGUACUCAGAUAUUUGUUGCUUCCGCUGACUCGUGUGUUUAUCGAGCUUUCGUAUUCUAGCCCUCGAGGACCCUAGCUUGUAAUAUGAAGCUUGUAUUAUUUUAUUUGUGUCUAGAGUUGUGUUGUGAUAUCUUACCGUGAGUCCUUCGGUUUGAUCGUACGCAUUUGCGUGUAUGAUUAGCGUACGAUUAAACCGAGGGCGUCACAGCGUGGCGGAGGCUCGACGUUCCCUACUUCUUGACUAUCGUGCAAAGCUGAGGCUCCAGGAGUCCCGCUUCCGCGAGCACCCAUGGUCACCUGAAAAACGAGGUCGAUGCCCUCCGAAAAAGGUUGGAUCAGGAAGUGAAACGUCGGCAGGUCACACUAGACGCCCAGGCUACUGUGGAAGGUAAACUAUCUCUUCUUUACAAACAGGUGAAAGGCGCGGCUUCCCAGGUUGGAGAGGCCUCUGAAGAGGCGAUCUAUGCUCGCGGCCUCCAGCUUGAACGCUCCCUGAUGUUCCAAUCCCUCAAGAGGAGGGCCUCCCGGGCUUUGAGUGACAUCUGUGGCAAGGGUGUCUCGAGCCCCCGGUCCCCCACGACGUUGGGUACUUGGGCUUCUUCUUCCGUGUUGUGGAAUGUCUUGAGGCAGGUGCCGAGAGGGCCCACGCGCUCAUAGAGGAGAAGAGUCGUGACCUCUUGGGUCAAGCAGCGUCGGAAGUCUUCAGCCACCUUCUUAGCCUCGACCCAAAUUUUGACUUUGCCGCAGUGUUGGGCCCGGUGUCGGAGACGAUCCGCACCGCCCUGGCCGAAUGGGUGAAGAUCCAUGUGGAAGACCUGGUGACUAGGCUUGCUCCCGAAGGCUGCGGCGUGAGCUCUAGCGACAAUGUGUCCUCCUGAUCCGCCGCCUUGUUCUCCUGAUAGGGUCAUGUAUUAGGUUUGACAGCAACUUUCAUGUAUAUGGAGGGUACCUUUCAAUGUGUUCUCUAAAGACGUGGUAUGCACAAUGCUUUCCUCCUGGCCGUGGCCGCUGCGAGCCCCGUGUUGUCGUGACGCUGACGGUCUAGCUCGCGAGCAUGGCUCCGUUCGUAGCGCUUCCUCCCUGCUUGUGGGGCGGUUUGAGGACCCUUUCAUCACUCUGUGUCUGCAGGUCCCGGUCCCGCACAUUUCCCUGCCACCGUGGGGCGCAACCUGUUACCAAGGUUGUUCCUCACGGGGCAAAUCCCCGACGCCCUGGGUGCCGACAUGAGACACCUGGGUGGCCGAGUGGCCUUGCGACUGGUAUGGCUCCUGAGGCAUGUUGCUCAGGAACCCCCCUUGACACUCAAACCGCUCUACGUCGACAGGCCCCAGUCCCGCACAUUUCCCCAUCACCAUUAGGUACCGCCAAGAACGGCGCGUCUAAGGGGCAGGGCCCCGCCUCCCCUGACACCGACCGGAAUUCCAGGACGGCAUCAAAGAGGGCAAGUGGCCUUAUGACCGGUAAGACUCCUGAGGCGCGCCUCAGGAGUCCCCUUUGGCGCUCGAGCGAUUCCCCAUUCCGCCCCUCUUGUGGUUGCCUCGGGAGGCCCGGCGGUCUCCCGAGGUUCCCGCGAAACACCAAUCAAAACAAAGGGAGAAAGAGAAAUCGAGUUUGGUAAAACGAGAGAACAUAGAGAAGAGAUCCCCGCCCUUCUUUUCUUUUCAAAACAUCAAGCAAAGAGAUCUUCAAGCCUUUGAUAGCUCAAAAUACAGAAGGGGAGCCCCUUGAGGGUCACAACUUGAAACGCAAGAAAGGAACGAGAAAACGGCCGCGUCCGGCACCUAAGAUAUUCUCCGCCUCCGUCUCCCCCCAACGUGGAGCAUAGGGCUUCCACUCGGCAUGGGAUGGACCCCUCCGCGUCCUCGGGGGGCCCUGGGCGUAUAGAGCCUCGGCUUGUUAUUACGUCAGAGUGUCACGUCCUCGCGAGUGUCCCUACCCCCGAGGCAUAGGCGCCUGAUUCCUUUUGGGUCAUUGGUGGACCGUGUUGAUUACAUCCGUCUUCUUCCCAGCGCGGAGCGUAGGGCAACCACUAGGCGUGGGAGGGACCCCUCCGCGUCCUGGGGGGGCGUAUACAGCCGAAGCUCGUUAUUGCGUAAGAGUGUUACAGGGUGAAGUAGGUCCCGGAAGGAUUGAAGGACGAUCCAGAGGUGCUACAGGUUGAUGCAGAUCCCGAGGACGCUUCGGGGGCCCCAUGCCUCACAGGCGCGUGCCCCGCUCGUGGUCCACGGGCUCGUAGCGGCGUGGCGUGGUCCGCCUUGAGCGAGCCCUCGAGCGUGGGAGGAGCCCCCAGCGCUCGCUGGCCAAAGAGCUCGCCCAGAUGGUAGGUCCUGAGUCCCUGGGGUGUUGCCCGAGCACGCCUCGCUCGGGCCCCCAAGUUCCCACAUUGGUACCCUAGGCCAUGCCCCCAGGCCGGGCUAGCCCAACCUGAGUGCAACGGCAGGUACCUGAACACCCGCCUGCGAUCGAACGAAGCCCGCACUGGCAACAUGGUUGUGUGUUCCACCCUCAGUCCCGAGGCGACGUCGCGCGCCCCGGAGGCAGGGGUGGAUAUACCACCCCCGGCCUCCAGGUUAGGAUCGUAUGGCCCAGGAACAUGGGCGUGUGCUCCACCCUCCGUUCCUAGGCUGGGGCCUCUCGGCUGGGACACAAGGGUGCGUCCACCCUGUCCCAGGCGAGAGGUCCCUGGUCCCCAGACCCAAACGUCUGCCUGAAGCAGCUCCCGGCCAGCAGGUGUGCCCCGCGAGGACACCCGCGCUGGGCGUCCCCGCGAAGCCACCCCCACGGGCCACCCCCGCGGUGGUGUUCAUACCUGUUUGCGCGGGGGUUGCCUACGGGGUCGCGCGCGUGCCUCCUGCCGCAGUGAUGGUCCGUGCUGCUUCCUUCGUAACCCGGACGUGUGCCGGCGCGGUCGUCGUCAAACUUUGCACGCCUCCAGGGGUUGAUGUAGUCGGGCCUCCAAUACUCCCUCCUCGUUCCGUGAAGCACGCCGGGGGACGCUGGAUGACGCCUCCCCAGCGCGGCCAAGUCUCGGGCCUCCAGCAGCUCCCGCCGAAUUCCUAGUGGGGUGGGCCUGAGUGGAUGUUUGGGAUGCGCCCGCGUGGUUCCCCCAUUGUAGCCCCUGGCGAUGCAGGCUGACGAGCGUUGUUCCCGCGGGGGCGCGCUUGGGUCUCGCCGGCGACGUCGCGCCCAAGAGCGCGCCUAUGCCUGUCGACGCGACGGUGACGGGCGGCGUGUCGGCGCGUGAGCUCAUGCGCCACCAGGAGCGCGACAUGUAUGUGCGUCAGGUGUUGACAGACUGGGAAGGGGUGGACAGCCUGGACGCGUGGAAGGGUCGGGCGACAGGGGAAUGCCAUGUGGUUGGUGAAGGCGGCAGCCCCCGGCGCUCGUUGGAAGCCUAUCCGGUGUGGACGUCGGGGGAUGGGGUGGCGGAGCGUCGCCGGGCGUCCCAGCCCGCCUGCGUCGGCUGCACCACGCGAGCGGCCCGCCUCUAUUCGCGGAUUGUCGUCUCCCUACCAUGAGUGUGACUAGCAUCAGCAGGCCGAGCCUUGGGAGAUACCUUGACACACCCCCUACCUGGCGCGCCAAAUGUCGAAUUUCGAGCUCCGCAAAACCCUAAAGAUUCGAACUCAGGGGCGUGUACGAAGAUGUCUCUAGGGCUCGCCUCACCUAACUCACUACUCGCUGGGGAUGGCAUAGAACUCACUCGAUGGUGAGGAAGACACAGAACACGGCAGUUUACCCAGGUUCGGGCCGCUAAGAAGCGUAAUACCCUACUCCUGCUUUGGUGGAUCGCCUCUCGUGGAGGUUGGUGGAUGAAAUAGUACAGUGUUCGAGAACCUCCGGAGGCUGGGUGGCCUUUGUGUUAUGUCGGUUGGUGAAUGAAUGCAUCCCCCUCCUCUACAAAGUAACCUAUCCGCUAUAUAGCGGCGGCCCGAGUCCUCUUCCCUUAUCGCAUGGGCGGGAAGGGAUCCCACAACGACCAAUUUUGAAGAGGAACAGGGGAACGUGCUCCCCCUGUCCAAAGGUGGUCUUCGCCUGCAAAGUGGCUGCGAGUUCUGCAGGGACGGGUCCAGGGAUGAUGUUUGUCCUGCUGGCGGGCGGCGAUGGCCUUGUUGCACCAGAAUGGAAACCUUCGGAAGAUGCCUCGGGAACCCGCGUACGUCCUUCCCUCCUUUGCUCGAAAAGGGGAACUACACCGUCUUGCAAUCCGCUGCUCGUCUAUCCUUUCCCUGCGUCAUCCUUGACCCUGAGGCCAGGUCUUGCCUCGAAAUCUCCGCCACUCCGAAGGGAUCCUGAGGAGGCCUCCCGUGGGUCUUGAUGAUGUUCCUCCUCGCGAGGCUUGGCCCCUCGCGAGGGCCUUGCCUUGGGUGGUGUCAGGCCUGUUGGUUUUUGAUCGAUGAAGUGGGCCAGCCCUGGGCCGUAGGCAGGCAGGUCUGGGUACCCCCGUUCCCAGAACGCCGACAGAUUUCACCGCUGAUCUGGAUCAUCAUUUCAAGGCGCAUGGUGAGAACCUGCUCCAAGCCGUCGACAAGCUCAUCCAAGCCAACAACACCACCCUCUACAGGUUGCUAAUGGCCCGUGUCGUGGGGUGCGGGAGGAGCUUGCACUCGAGCACGAGGCCGUUCAUGCCGACUGGCCGAAGGAACCGCCUGGGCGCAACGAUGCUUCAGCUACUCAACUGGUUGGGGGUGGUCGCAACUCUGCCGCCGACUCCCUUGGCUUCGACCAGGAUCACCAGGGGAAGGCACAUGCUCCGUAUGUACCUCCUCCGAUCAGGGGUGCGCGAAAUUCAGUUUUCCCUAUUUGCCCUUCCUCUACUAUGCGUGAUUUGCCUUACCCAGAUGUUGCCGAUACGUUAUCUUUGGUGUUCGAGUGGAUCUCCCACGUUUUGAUGGUGCGAAUCACCGGCUCUGGAAAACUCGGUGUGAGGAUCAGUUCCGACUCUGGUGUACUCCUCAGCAUCGAUGGGCUUCGCUAGCAACAUCUCAAUUUGAAGGUGCAGCUGCUCGGUGGCUAGAAUCGAUGCAACGUCAUUGUCCUCAAGCUUCCUGGUCUGAAUUCUGUUCAAGUUUGCAUAGCCGAUUUGGUCGUAAUCAGCAUCGGACUGUGCUACGUCAAUUGUUCCGUAUUUCCCAAACUAGUACUGUUGUUGAUUAUGUGGAUAGAUUUGCUGAUUUAUAUGAUCAAUUAUCUGCUUAUGAGGAAGCUCCUAACCAUCUCCAUUACACUACUCGAUUCUUAGACGGCCUGAAGCCUGGUGUCCAUGUGGCUGUUGCUCUGUAGAAACCAAGGACUUGGAUACGGCAUACGAUUUGGCACUGUUACAUGAGGAGCUUGGUGGUGGUUUUACAUCUCUGCACAAUUCUACAGGCCAGAGAUCAGGUGCUCUUCCACUUCCUCUUCCACCCAAAGCAAGUUUUGCUGAUAACAAACGAGCACCUAAAACUACGAAAAUUGUUCCAUCUGAUGAUAAGUGGUCUGCAUUACGUGCUUAUCGAAAGUCGAAGGGGCUCUGCUUUGUGUGUGGCAAAAUAUGGUCUAAGGAUCAUAUGUGCAAAUCAUCAGUUCAAUUACAUCUGGUUCAGGAGUUGAUUGAUCACAUUCAGGUAGAAGAAGCCAUAGAUACAGCCUCUACAACUGAUCAAGAGCGCCUGUGUGUUUUUAGUAUGAAUAUGUCAGCUGCUGUUAUGGGAAAACAGUCUAAUGCACCAACUCCGCAGUUGUUAAUUGAGACGCAAGGAAUGGAAUUAGUAUUUCUGGUAGUACACAUUCAUUUAUAGACAGUGCCCUACAACAUAGAUUGACCAAGGUUCAACAGACUUCUUCUGUGUGAGUAUCUGUAGCUGGUGGAGGUCAAUUGCAAUGUGAUGCAGUGUUAUCCAAGAGCUUGUGGAAAUGUGGAUCAGUUCAGUUCACUAGUGACUUCAGAUUGCUCCCAUUAGCAAGCUACGAUGGUAUUAUUGGGUUAGAAUGGCUUGCUCAACACAGUCCAAUGCAGGUUGAUUGGGUCCACAAGUGGAUGUCUUUUCAGUAUCAAGGUGAAGUGGUUACUUUGCAAGGCUUGUUACCUAAAGAUGUGGUUGUCAUAGUGUUUUCUGUUUCAUUGAUAAGACCUGUUGAGAAGCAAGUUCAACAUCCAGAACUGCAAGUGCUGUUGGAUAAACAUGCAGUGGUGUUUGAAACCCCAACUACUUUACCUCCUAGAAGACUUAAAGACCAUACAAUUCCUUUGAUUCCAGGUGCAAGGCCAGUCUCCGUUAGACCCUAUAGGAUUGCUCCUCAUUUGAAGGAUGAGUUGGAAAAGCAGAUCAAGGAAAUGCUAGCAUCAGGGAUGAUCGGGCAUAGUAGCAGUGCCUUCUCUUCUCCUGUUGGUCAAGAAGAAAGAAGGGACUUGGAGAAUGGUCAUUGACUAUAGACAACUCAAUGCUAUCACGGUGAAAAGCAAAUACCCAGUUUCCAUUAUAGAUGAACUUCUGGAUGAAUUAGCAGGAGCCUGUUGGUUUUCCAAACUGGAUCACAAAGCUGGCUAGCAUCAAAUUAGAAUGGCACCUCGGGAAGAGUACAAAACAGCAUUCCAGACCCAUAAUGGACAUUAUGAAUUCAAUGUGAUGGGCAUGGGUUUGACGGAACUAUGAAUUAUGAUCUUGCUCUUGUGCUGAGAAGAUGUGCAGUAGUUUUUUUAUGAUAUCUUGGUCUUCACUAAAACAUUGUAAGAACAUUGGGAUGAUCUGGAUGAAGCUUUGUCCAUCUUAAACAAGGAACAAUGGAAGGUGAAAAUAUCCAAAUGUGACUUUGCUCAACCUCAAAUUGCUUAUCUAGUGCAUGUUAUUUCUACAGUUAUCCUGACAAACUUUUAGCUGUCCAACAUUGACAUGUUCAAAAGAAUGUUAAGUUAGUCAGGGGAUUCCUUGGAUUGAGUGGAUAUUACAGGAAAUUUUUCCAGCAUUAUGGCAUUAUUGCUAGACCUUUAACUGAAUUGCUUAAGAAGGGGACUCCUUUUGUUCAGACCAGUAUCACACAGGAGGCCUUUGUGACACUUAAACAAGCCUUAAUAUCAGCUAUUGUUUUGGCUUUGCCUGAUUUCACUAAGCCAUGAUAGAGACUGAUGCUUGUGAGUAUGGUAUUGGUGCAGUUUUGAUGCAGCAAGGACAUCCAUUAGCUUUUGUCAGUAAGACUCUGGGUCCCAAAAACAAAGGUUUGUCAGUCUAUGAGAAGGAAUAUCUGGCUAUUCUGCUAGCAAUGGAUAAGUGGAGACCUUACUUGCAAGUACAGUAGUUUGUUAUAAAAGCAGUCAAAAAAAUUGGCCCAUCUGCAGGAUCAGAGGUUGCAUAUAGUUUGGCAACAAAAGUGUCUAACUAAGUUGUUGGGACUAAAUUAUCAAAUUCAAUAUAAACAAGGGAAGGAGAAUAGUGCAGCUAAUUCUUUAUCUAGAAGACAUCCUGAUGAGUCUCAAUUGUUUUCCAUUUCAAGUAGUCACCCAACUUGGAUGGCUGAAAUUGUUGCUAAUUAUGAGGAUGAUGAGAAAGCUUUAGCCCUUAUCCAGCAGUUAGCCAUUGCACCAGCUUUUAAGUCAUCAUAUACUCUUGUUAAUGGAUUGUUGAAAUAUAAACAGAGUAUUUGGGUUGGAGUUGUGCCUGCAUUACAUCAGAAGAUCUUUGCAGCCUUUCAUGAUAGUCAUGUCGGUGGUCAUUCUGGGUUUCCUGUUACCUAUAAGAGAAUCCAUGCACUCUUUUCAUUGGCUAGUAUGAAGAAGUUUAUUUUAUUUCAAGUGCAAUCCUGCCUCAUUUGUCAGAAAGCUAAGCCAGAAAGAGUGGCAUAUCUUGGAUUGUUAUCUCCAUUGCCAGUUCCAAAUAAUACAUGGGAGACUAUUUCUAUGGAUUUUAUCAGUGGACUCCCUCACUCUUCUCAGCAUAAUUGCAUCCUGGUAGUGAUAGAUAAUUCAUCAAAUAUGGGCAUUUCAUAGCUAUGAAACAUCCUUUUAAUGUUCAGAAGGUUGUUGAAGUGUUCCUAGAUAAUGUCUACAAAUUACAUGGGUUGCCCAAGGUGAUUAUCUCUGACAGAGAUCCACUUUUCACAAGUCAAUUUUGGAAAGUGUUGAUCCAUAAAACUGGGACUCAGUUGAAUAUGAGCACAGCUAACAGAAAAGGUGAAUCAACAAGUUAAAUGCUAUUUGAGAUGUUUCAUAAGUGCCCAUCCUCACAAGUGGAGUAAAUGGUUGCCACUUUGUGAAUUUUGGUACAAUUCCAAUUGGCACUCUGGCCUAGGUAAAUCUCCAUUUGAAGUGUUGUAUGGAUAUACACCUAAAUACUUUGGCAUCAGUGAAUCAGAUACUAUUGCUCUAGUGGAAAUGCAAGAGUGGCUACAGGCUAGGAAGCUAGUAACUGAAACAACUAGGCAACAUUUAUUGGAACUCAUCAACGAAUCAAGAAUCAAGGAGAUAAAAAUAGAACUGAAAGAUCUUUCCAGGUUAGUGAUUCAUUUUUUUCUCAAAUUGCAACCGUAUGCUCAGACAUCUGUUUACUCCAGGCAAAAUCAGAAACUUGCAUUCAAAUUCUUUGGCCCAUUUCCAGUUGUGGAGAGAAUUGGUGAAGUGGCUUACAGGUUGGAUCUUCCAGAGGGCAGUCGUAUCUAUCCAGUUUUUCAUGUUUCGCAACUCAAGUGUUUCCUUCCUCGUGAAACCAAGGUGCAGUCAAGUUCACCAUCUCACCAUGUUGCCCUGCAAGUUCCUGUUCAGAUUUUGCAGCGCCGGAUGCGACAACUGGGCAAUAAAACAGUGACCCAGUCUUGGUUCGAUGGUCUAAUUCAUCAUCACAGGAUGAUUCAUGGGAGGACUUGGAGUUCCUGCACCAUCCAUUUCCUGGUGCACCUGCUUGGGGACAAGCCGCUUCUCAAGGAGGGGGGAUGUCAACACUGUGGGUACUACUGAAGCUAGUGGAGAGGUUCUGAAGGCGGCGACCACAGCAGUGGCGACUGACGAAGCUAGCGACGAAGUUAUUCAGAGAAAGGACGCGCCAAUGUUUGAACCUGCUAGUGGCCCAGGACGACGGCUCGCUCGCGACGCGACCCGGCACAAGUGGCACACCGGCCCUGAAUGGGUUUGUACUUAAGACAACGUUAGCGUUCUGUUAGAGUGGUUGGGACGGCGGCUUCGUCCGAGACACUGUUGUAAUUCGAAUUUCUCCAUGACGCUGUGAGGGUGGUUGGGAGGAAAUCACACGCGACGUCAUUGCCACGAAUCUAUCUAGUUCUUCGAUUGAGCCCUAUCUUACAAUACGUCUCCUCUUCUUCUGCCUCUAAUGCACCCUGAUCAAUCGCUUCUUUUGUCUCUAAUGCACCCUGAUCAAUCACUUUAUCAAGAUAGAUACUGCAGCCCUCGAACCAUGAGAUCUAUCGAGCAAUUUCUGCAACAAAUUAAGUAGAGUUUACCCAGAAUCCCAACCCGUAUGUUUCUCCCCUCUCCUGUAAAUCUCCACAACAAUAAGUAUAACAGUCAAUAUAUAUGGACACAGCUGCAUGAGGGCAAAUCAAGGAAAAACAGAAAAACACAUCAAUCAGGUUGCUUGUUCAAUAUACACACCUUCACAAACAUUAUCUUCUCCUUUUCAUAUUUUCUUUCUAGCACAUAAUAAGCACCAUCAUCCAUAUUUCAAAGUCCUGAUUGUUAAUUUUGCAUGUGUGUGUGGCAAUCUGGAUUCAGCAAAAGCUCUGAAUCCUUUCCUGGGAAUCUUAGUGUUAUCAUAGAUUCUUCCCUGCUAAAGAAUACUUGUUGGAAAUAAGAAACACAAGAGGUUUUAUAUGCUAAUAAUAAUAUGCUACAGAAAUACAAAAACCAGAAAUGAGAUGACCAAAAAAAAUGAGCUUGUAGUAUAAAUACCAACUGCAACUACCAACUACAAACGCCUUGUCCCAGCUUAUCAGGAAAUCAUCUUCUCAAGCGUAUAGUACAAAAACCAAAUACUUUGUAGAAGCAUAUAUAUGCACCCCCCCCCCUAUAUUUUAAUAUAAAUGCACCGUAAUUUUACGCCCCGCAAAUUUUAUUUUAUUUAAUACGUAAAAUAAUGAUGGUAAGAAAAUAUAUAAUGGCCAUAAAAAUAUUUUAUGUUACGUAAAAUCACAAACGUAAAAACAUAGUGUAUAAUAUGCACAAAAUGCUAUUUUCCUGGUCUUAUGACCUAUAUAUUUGUUUUCUUAUGCCAAAUUUUACGCAGUGAAUCAAUAUGAAUAUAACUAUUUAUAUUGCAAAUAUAAUUUAUUUAUAGAAGGAUCGUAAAAUUACCUUGGAUAAAGAAUAACUUAAGAGAGAGAGAAAGGCUCAAUGGCAAUGGGCAUAUGUGCAGUAGAGCCGUAACCUUAAAUAUUGUUGCCAUGCUUAUCUGCACUAAAAAGGAUAAAGAGUGACCCUGACCCAUGUGCAUUGAGGGGUACACCAAAGUUAGUCAUAUGCCUAAGCUUGGUUUGUGGAAAAGGAAAAAAACAAUUAUUUAUUGUAGGAACGGGGGAGAGAGGAGUACCUCCAGCACAAGUGUUUUGUGCGUGGCGGCUGUCUCAGGAACGGGAGAUGGCUGGGAGCCUCCUUUUAGGUUAGUCCCACUACAUGGGCCUGGGCCCUAAGAGAUAACUUGUAUGGGCUGGGCCAUACCAGUUCAACACUUCCCCUCAAGAUGGGUGGUAGAUAUCUAUCAUUCCCAUCUUGUCACAUGCCAAGUUACAAUCCUUUCUUCCCAGACCCUUUGUCAAACAAUCUGCAAACUGCUGCCCAGAACUGACAUGAGUAAGGCUGAUGACCCCGGCAUCAAGCUUCUCCUUAAUGAAGAACCGAUCAAUUUCCACAUGCUUUGUCCUAUCAUGUUGAACUGGGUUAUUAGCGAUGGCUAUAGCUGACUGAUUGUCACACCACACCUUCAAGGGCCCCUUCCUCAGAAGUUUCAACUCGCUCAGUAGGUACUUCACCCAGAGCAUCUCACACAACCCUUGAGAUAAUGCUCUAUACUCAGCUUCUGCUGUUGAUCUAGACACAACCGGCUGUUUCUUGCUUCUCCAUGAUACCAAAUUUCCUCCCACAAACACGCAGUAACCAGAAGUUGAUCUUCUAUCAUCUUGACAACUGGCCCAGUCAGAGUCACUAUAGCCAUCCACCUCAAGAUGUCCACUCUUCCCAAACCACAACCCUUUACCCGGAGUCCCCUUCAAGUAUCUCAGGAUUCUGUGCACAAUAUCAAGAUGCCCACUCCUUGGUUCAUGCAUGUAUCUGCUCACCACCCCCGUAGCAUACGUAAUGUCAGGCCUGGUAUGACACAAGUACAACAACCUUCCAACCAGUUUCUGAUACUCUUCCUUAUUCACUAGCUCUCCUGAUUGUGCUGUCACUUGGUGAUUUUUUUCAAUCGGAGUAGGGGCAGUACGACAUCCCAUCAUGCCCACGUCACUCAAGAGAUCCAAGGUGUAUUUUCGUUGGCACAAAGAGAUUCCCUUCUCUGUCCGAGCCACUUCAAUGCCAAGAAAGUAUUUUAGGUUACCCAAAUCCUUUACCUCAAACUCCUUGCUCAAACAACCCUUCAAUCUCUCUAUUUCCUCCUCAUCAUCUCCAUCUCCAGUGAUGAUAAUGUCAUCCACAUAAACAGCAAGAAUGGUGAUCUUCCGAUCAGAGUGCUUGUAGAACAUCGUGUGGUCACCGUUACACUGACCAUACCCCAUACCACGGACAGCACGUCUGAACCUAUCAAACCAGGCCCUUGGUGAUUGCUUCAGUCCAUACAAGGAUUUCUUCAGCCUGCAUACCUUCCCCGUAGUCUCUGAAGUACCAAAACCUGGUGGUAUUUCCAUGUAGACUUCUUCUUGCAACUCACCAUGCAAGAGGGCAUUUUUGACAUCUAAUUGAUGCAACUUCCACCCAAAGUUUGCAGCACAGGAGACCAAUAUCCUUACUGUGUUCAUCUUUGCCACGGGAGCAAACGUCUCAUCAUAGUCAAUUCCAUAAGUUUGACUAUAUCCUCUGGCGACCAAUCUGGCCUUAUACCGUUCCACCUUCCCUUCAGGAUUCUGCUUCACUACAUAGAUCCACUUACAACUCACUGCUUUCUUUUCUGUCGGCAAUGUGGUUAGCACCCAUGUCUUGUUUUUCCUUAGUGCUUCCAACUCUUCUAUCAUCGCUUCACGCCACCUCGGAUCUUGCUUUGCAGCCUUCCAAUCCUUUGGAAUUGACACAGUUUGAAGGGAGGCAACAAACGCCUUAUAUGUGGGUGACAAAGCCUUAUAAGACACAAAAUUGCCAAUAUCAAGAUCAUCACAAGCAUCAUCCUUCGGUAGAGCCUUCCUUGCUACUUCACCCUUUCUUGCCGCUUCACGUGUAGCCUUUCGCAAUGCAAUGGGCAGCUCCACUGUGUCAGAUGAGCUCGUCUCACUAUCUUGCUGCUCCCCCUGCACUCUUGCCUCACUGUCUUGCUGCUCCCCUUGCACGUGUGGUUGCCGUCGAGAGUACACUAGGGUGUUCGUCUGCCAUCGAUCCCGAACAGGAACCCGAAGAGCACCAAUCUUAAGUGUAUCGACGGUUGGCUCGACAGGAACCUGCACAUCAUCAUCAGUGAGAGUACUAACCGGAAUUGUUCCCACUGUUGGUUGGACCUGAACUUGCACAUCAUUAGCAGUGUUAUUGCCCACAGAAUCACCCUGAGUAUGAGACACAUCCUUCUCCCCCUCUUGACCAUCGUGCACAUGAUGUAGGUGGUCAAGCUCUGCAAAUAGCAGACUGAGAUCAGUCGGCGUACCAUAGAAUGGCUCGGACUGCCUGAAGAUAACAUCCAUACUCACGAACCUGCGUUUUUCAGAGGGAGACCAACAUUUAUACCCCUGCUGACUAGAAGAGUAUCCCAGGAAGACACACUUCACUGCCCGAGGAUCAAGCUUUCCAACAUAUGGUCGGUGAUCACGAACAAAGCAAGUACUGCCAAACAACUUUGGGGAAACAACAAACUUAUUAUCUCCAAUGAGCAACUCAGACGGAGAUUUCAUACCUAAUAUCCUGGAAGGUGUCCGGUUGAUCAGGUACGUGGCUGUCAUAACUGCUUCAUCCCAUAAGAACUUAGGCACAUUCAUGGUAAACAUUAAUGACCGAGCAACCUCAAGAAUAUGACGAUUCUUCCUUUCGGCCACUCCAUUCUAAGGUGGGGUGUCCGGACAUGAAGUUUGAUGAAGAAUCCCUUGGUUAGCCAUGAAAUCCCCAAAAAUAUUGUUCACAUACUCUGUACCAUUGUCAGUCCUGAGCACGUUGACCUGCACCUGAAACUGGUUCUUUACAAGAGCAUGGAAGUUCUGAAAACAGCUAAACACCUCAUCCUUGUGACGCAUCAAGUAAAUCCAAGUCAUACGAGAAUAGCAGUCAAUAAAGGUAACAAGAUACUUCUUUCCAUUCAUUGACACUACUGGGCUAGUCCAUACAUCCGAAUGAAUGAGCAUAAAAGAAGAUAUGCUCCUAAGCCCCUUACUCACAUAUGAGGCUCGUGUGUGUUUUGCAUAUUCGCAAGCAUCACAUGUCAACUUGCCAUUGCCUAUUCCACACAUAACAUCCGGAAAGAUUCUACUCAUCUUAUCAAAAGAUACAUGACCCAUUCUACAAUGAUGGAUCAUCGUCUGCUUCUCCUUGUCCUCCAUGGUCGCAGCACACACCAAGUUCGGUUGCACCUCCUGGUCCAUGUACCAGAGCCCCCUACGCCUGGUGCCAGUCUCAACCGUCUGGCUCGUCUAUCCCUCCUGAAUCAAGCAACCGAACUUGUCAAGGAUCACACGACAGUCUAUUUGAUCAAUGAGAGCACUGAAAGAGACCAAAUUGACAGGAAAAGUUGGCACAUGCAAAACUGACGAUAAUGAGAUGGUUGAAGUGCAUGUGACUGUGCCAACCCCUACGACAGGCUGAUUAAUACCAUCGGCAGUUUGUACAGUGCCCUUGUGAGUAGGAGCAUGCUUAUGGUAAGACUCAAACACACACGAAUUACCCGCAACAUGCUUAGAUGCUCCAAAGUCUAAGACCCACUCUAAAGCACUCUCAUUAGGAGGAAGACAUGCCUUCAUCGAAUUACCUUCAUCAGUGGAGGCCCAGUGAGCAAAGUCUCCAUAGGCCGCCUCAUCAACUCCCUUGCCCUGUGACGUCCCAGUGUCCUCUUCAACUACCAUAUGCGCCCUGCCCCCUAAGUUUCCUGAGUAGCCACCUCUGCCCCUAGAAAGUUGACCCCCUGAGUUCCAUGGGUAUCCACCUCUGCCUCGAGCAUACCUUCCUCUGCCAGUGCCCCCUCUGUUGUAUCCCCUGCCUCUACCACGAGUUGGACAUUCCCUCUUCCAAUGACCUACCUCCCCACAAAUAUGACAUUUGUUGGGAUCUCCCCACUCCAUGCGCUCAGUGACUGCAAAUGUCGAAGCUGGCACAAACUUCACGUUUGCAUGCGCAAGAGAUAGCCUCACCUCCUCUUGAGACAUUGCUGCAAUAGUCUCCUCAAUAGUUGGCAGGAGAGGUUGGUGCAACAGGGAAGCCCCCCUGCCAUGAAAGCAACCUCUGAGGCCUUCCAACAGUUUCAGCACGCGCCUGCGUGCAAUCCACUUGCGCCCUGACUCGAUGCACGCCGCAUCAUAGAGUUCCAGAGGAUCACAGUUAUCCUGCUCUGCCCACAAAGCCUGCAGCUCUGCUACAUAUGUCAUCACUGACAUGUCAUCGCCUUGGCGCAGCCGACUGAUCUUCCCCUCAAUCUGAGCAAUUAGCAUGAAAUUACCCUUGCCUGAGUAUUGGGUGGAUAGAGUCUUCCAUAUCUCGGCGGACGUGGAUAGUCCCUCCACAGAGCGACCAAUGGAGGGCACCACUGAGUUCAACAACCAGCCAACAAGCACAGAGUUUAUGACCUUCCACCGCUUUCCCUCCGCGGUAGUCUUGUCUCCGGGUUCAUCAACCGCACCCAAUAAGUGCCCAUCAAGUUCCUUCUGUUCCACAGCCAGCAAUGCCCUUCUGGACCAGCUCAAAUAAUUUGUGGCCCCCUCUAGCUUCAUGUCCAGGGGUGACAUUUCGAGCUUCUGAGCCACUUCCUGUCGAGGAACGAUGGCCCCAGAGUUGGAGUUGGACUCCGUGAGGAUCUUAGCGAGCUUCUCGAAAGCCUCAGCAAGCGCAUUUGGUUCAGCCAUCUCCGAUCCGGUAAACAGCAGCAGCAGCCCUCAGCAGCACAGCCCUACAGCUGCACGGUUGGUCCCUUUACACCCCCUGGCUAGCAGCAGCACCCAGCAACUCAGCAGCUCCAAGUGCAAGCAGCAACCACAGCCUCUUCCUCCAGCAGCAGUUCUCUCCCUUCUUCCUCUGCAAACAGCAGCAGUUCUCUUCCUCCUUCCUCUGCAAACAACAGCAGUUCUCUUCCUCCUUCCUCUGCAAACAGCAGCAGUUUCAGAGGAUCUUGGCCUCCAACAGCAGCCAACCCCCGCAGCAGUUCUCCAGCUCCCGGUCCCUGCAGACACACGCACACACACCAGCACAACAAGGAGCUGCCCUUCUCCACUACCCUUCUCCUCUUCUCCUCCCGCAGCACCACAGCCCGUUGGAGACCAAGCCGCUCCUCAGCUUCCUCCUCCUGCCGCGCAACACAGCAGCUCCACCUCUCCUUCUUCCUCUGCCGUGCAGCACAGCCUCCACCUCUCCUUCCUCUCCAACGAGCCGCACCUCCUGCGCAGCCACGCCACGCCUCCCAGAUCCGCCGCUGCCUCGCCGGACGCCGCCCAGAUCCAACGCCACCUCGCCGGACGUCGCCGUCGUCUUCUCAGGCCCCGCCGUCGCUGGCUCUGAUACCAUGUAGGAACGGGGGGAGAGAGGAGUACGGGAGGGAGAGAGGAGUACCUCCAGCACAAGUGUUUUGUGUGUGGCGGCUGUCUCAGGAACGGGAGAUGGCUAGGAGCCUCCUUUUAGGUUAGUCCCACUACAUGGGCCUGGGCCCUAAGAGAUAACUUGUAUGGGCUGGGCCAUACCGGUUCAACAUUUAUGUGCCUAACACACCAGCAAAUCAAAUGCAGCCUCCACUACAUGUCAAUAGUUCCAUGAAAAAAACAAAAAAAACUAAUACGAUAUUUAAUUGUAAGCAUACAACAAAUAGUACCACUCUAAAUCUGGUGUCGCCAUUCCUCAAAACAGAAAUUUUCAACCUUUCUUUUUUUUUAAAUUACAAUAAAGAGUAUCAAUGUUUAAGUUUCUAAGAAAAAAAGGAGAAGAAAAGUUUAGAACCAUGGGUUCAAUAUGAGAUUAGAACUACAGCCACCAUGCGAGUAGCCGAGGAUAGGGAAAUGUUGACAAUAUUAGAGCAUGUUUACGUCAGGAUAAAAUGUUGUCAAAAUUAUUCAUCUAGUUCAAUUAAGUUCUAUGAUGUAUAAAGUAUGUACUUGGCAAGAAAAAUACAAGGGGUUACCUGGAUAUAUGAUGCUGCAGUACACAUAUAUUUAUCUAACUAAAAUUAAGCCCACCACUUCCCGCUCUCAUAUUACUUCAGAAUCAUCAGUAUGAGAAAACAUUGAUACCCAUUACUUUAUACUGAUAAACUCCAUGCUCCGAGACAAGGUUGCACACGUCAUCGCCGACAAUUCCCUUCUCUUCUCGAAUCAACAUAUAACCAUGUUUUUAUCUUACAAGAGAAGGGAAUCCUCGCAAUCUGCUAGAUACAACAAGGUACUUUUGUAUGACGUGCCUGAGCCAUCAAUUUGCCGGUCCUUUUCUUCCUGAAACCAACAGAGACAACACCGACUGAUUUUCCAGCACGCAAUAGCUUCCCCUCAACUUCUAUUUCUUCCUGUAAAAAUAAAAGAAAUAGUUUACGGCAUGUCAAAUAACUAUUAAAAUAACAUAAGAGUGAAAAGACAAAGGUAUGUACAAAAUUAAUCAAGCCUUAUGAUGCUAUUCUAGCAAGAAACUGGCCAAAUCUGCCCUUUGGGGGGUAGGGGUGGGGGCAAAAAUUAUGAGAAAAGAUAACGCCCAUAUGUGUGGGUGUUUGCAAACCGUCCACACGCAUGAAUCUGCGUCUGUUUGUGCUUUGCAUUAAUCUUGGUAUUUUUUGAUAGUUUUUCUGUACCACGUAGGACUGAACUGGUGUGUCGGUAUUUAACCACUUCGCCCACACGGCCGUUUCUUUCUCAGCAGGAAUCUUUUUUGGUUUUCGGUUUAAAAAUGUUUUAUCAUGACAACUUCAGUGUAACAUCAUGACAACUGUUGAAGCACCCAUUUUUUUAAAUGUAACAUCAUGGCAACUGUUGUAACAUCAUGAAAUUUUUUUAAAUGUAGAAGAAAAAAUAGGUGAAACAUAUCAUGGCAACUUCAGUGUAAACACCAUGGCAUGGCAACUACAGUGUAACAUCAUGGCAACUGUUGUCCAAAAAAAUAAUUUAUCGAAAUAUAUUGAUAUGAGAUCUAGUUUCGAAGAUCUCGUCGCGAUGGAUUUAAUGAUAAAAACGGAUCUUCAAUCGGAUUUUUCAUUUACAAGAUAAAACAUUUUAAAAACUCAAAAUCCAAAAAGAUACCCACAUGCAUACAUGUGGUUUGGGCGUUAGCUAUUUUGCCCACACUCAGGCGUGUGAGCUAUUUCUCUUACACACCACACAAGAUGUAUGGGCAACACCCCUUAACACCCAGACGUGUGGGUGUUAUCAGGACCCAAAAUUAUAACCAAGCAACCUGAAAAGUACGUUUGGAUUUUUCAGAGCAAUAUUUGGACAACAUGACAAUAACUAUGAUCCUGAACUAAUUCUAGGAACCUCUUCAGAGCAAUAUCUGAACAAGAUGACAAUAAUUCAGAUCCUAAACUUAUUCUAGGAAACAUUUUGUACCCAGCUCCAGUCUGUAUUGAGCGAGUCAAAGGAAACAAAAAAUGAAUAACACCGUGUAAAUGCAGGCGCACUGAAUUCAACCAUCUUUUCUAAUUAGUACACACUUAUAUUCCUAUAAUAUUAAAAUGACUGGACGGUAAGAAGUGGUGGACCUUUUAUCUUGCCAAUUGAGAAAUAUUCAGUCGAGUAACAGACAAAAAAGAUCUCCACAUUUGAUCUGAACCAAUGAGAAAAGAGGGUCGUGUAUUUAACAUAGGUUCUGAAGUACGAGAAGAAUGCUCACCAAUUUGUUUCAGAUUCGAACUGAAUGCAUAAUAUCUUAGAUCGCGCAACCUAAGGUAAUGCAAAGAAAUAAAAUCAUACUAUUUAGGCAAUCCAAAUAGGCAUUGUAUGUACAGAAAAAUCAAAGGCGAAAUAGCAAAACAUCCAUGAAACUAAGCCAGUCACAUGAUGAUCAUAUUAAUGUCCACCUACAGCGGCCAAGUUUAGAAACCCCAAACGAGUGAGCAGAUGAAGCCAAGAAAAAGAAACACACUGAAGGGGAUCGGGAGACAGGGCCACCUACAUCGACCAAGUUUAGAAACCCCAAACAUGUGAGCAGAUCAAGCCAAGAAAAAAAAACACGAAAGGAGAUCGGGAGACACGACGGAGACCUUGAGGCGGGAAAGAGAGAUGGAGCGGGGUCGGGCUGCUUCUUCCCCUUACCUCUGCCCUCCCCCAUCUUCCCCACAAACCCCACAGCUGCUGCGUUGCUAGGCAUGGAGGGAGAGAGGAGCAGCAAAAGCAAGGACGCGGCGAGGAGGCAAAAACAGGCGGCGGACCUCCUUCAUCUUCCUUCCCCGUACCCGCACCCCACCGUCACUGGAGCUGCUCUUUUCCGGCUCGGAUCCGUUGUCUAGGUGUGUUUAUUUAGACUAACAUAGAUACUAGUAACAUAGAUGCC
rnacentral:lncRNA from 1 species